CUGGAGCGAUACAGUGAAGGGGACUGAGGUUUUCGCAGCAUGUGCUUUCAGGCAAGGCUGGAUGGGUGCAAUGGGAUCGUUCAGGGUACAAUGCCUGGCAUUUUACUUUGUGUCUUUUCUAUACUCGCUCAACUCAGCUCUUCCAUGCUUAGGAUGUUGACUUAAUGGUUUUAAAUGACCCGUCUUGAAACACGGACCAAGGAGUCUAACAUAUAUGCAAGUGUUUGGGUGGCAAACCCAUGUGCAUAAUGAAAGUGAAAGGUGUGAUCCGCAAGGUGCAGCAUCGACCGAUCUUGAUAUUUUUGGAUAGAUUUGAGUAAGAGCAUAUAUGCUGGGACCCGAAAGAUGGUGAACUAUGCCUGAAUAGGGUGAAGCCAGAGGAAACUCUGGUGGAGGCUCAUAGCGAUUCUGAUGUGCAAAUCGAUCAUCAAAUUUGGGUAUAGGGGCGAAAGACUAAUCGAACCAUCUAGUAGCUGGUUCCUGCUGAAGUUUCCCUCAGGAUAGCAGAAACUUGUUCAGUUUUAUGAGGCAAAGCGAAUGAUUAGAGGCCUUGGGGCUGAAACAGCCUUAACCUAUUCUCAAACUUUAAAUAUGUAAGAAGUCCUUGCUGCUUAAUUGAGCCUGGACAUUUGAAUGAGAGUUUCUAGUGGGCCAUUUUUGGUAAGCAGAACUGGUGAUGUGGGAUGAACUGAAUGCGAAUUUAAGGCACUGGAAUACACGCUCAUCAGACACACAAAAGGUGUUGGUUCAUCUAG
rnacentral:rRNA from 1 species